rnacentral:rRNA from 1 species
UACGUAGGGGGCUAGCGUUGUCCGGAAUCAUUGGGCGUAAAGCGCGUGUAGGCGGCCCGGUAAGUCCGCUGUGAAAGUCGGGGGCUCAACCCUCGGAUGCCGGUGGAUACUGUCGGGCUAGAGUGCGGAAGAGGCGAGUGGAAUUCCUGGUGUAGCGGUGAAAUGCGUAGAUAUCGGGAGGAACACCAGUGGCGAAGGCGACUUCCUGGCCUGUUCUUGACGCUGAGGCGCGAAAGCUAGGGGAGCAAACGGG